GUUUUGACAAGUCUUUGGCAGAAUUCAGGCACCUCAUUGCUCAGGCUGGGCUAUUCUGACAAAGCUGGCUUGUUGAGAAAGUUGUUUUCCUCUGAGGAUACCUAUGUCCCAGCAGAUGGUUGGAUGGCCAGCAUAGCUUGGUGCUGCACCGUGCUGCAUGGAUGGGAUCCUCCUUUAAAACUCCGCUGGUGCUGUUCACAAAAAGAUCAGGCUGAGGAUGAGGACACCUGCAUUGCAGUCUCAGCAGCCUCCUCCCCUUCCUGGGACAUGAUGACCUGGUUGUCCUCAAGAGAAUGACAAAGAGACUGAAUUUUAUAAAACAUCAGAAUAAUGCUGCAAAGGCCCAGAUAAACAAAUUUUCAUACUGUGUGGUUGUGCCUGUCAGCAAUGAGUGAUACACCAAAUAUAAUGGAAGUUGUGGAGAUUUCAGCCUUCCUACAUCUUCAGUUCAGGCAUUCAGGGCCAACUGUCAAAGGAGAAAUUUGGUCAUAUUGGAAAAGACUGAGCACUGUUUGCAGAAACUGAAAGGAUUUACUUAGUUUUUUUCCCUAUUUCUAUAUUUAAGAUAAUUUGCCAUUCCAGAGCUGUUUCCCAACAUAGCAACUGAGACCCCAUGUGGCACCUGGGAAGGUAAAAAAUGUGGACAUUUUAAAGAAACCAGAAAACAUUUUCUUUUUAUUUUAUCUUGUAAAUGCAUUUGCGCUUUGCUUAAACAACACAGCAAGACAUUUCAUAUAUUCUGUUCCUAGCAAUAGACCAGAUCCUCAGCUGGUGUGAUUCUGUAUCCUUCC
rnacentral:lncRNA from 1 species